UCCAAGUUUCAGAGCCCCCACGUCCAGGAAAUGGAUGUCAGAAGUCUCCCUCACAAGCUGGAGCUAUUGCUGUUAGAGCCAGCCCCGCAGCGCCCUGGAAAGGAUCUCAAGGCACCGCGGGACGCCGUGGCGCCUGGCCGAGACUCGCUGCUUUAGGUCACGCCGUACGCCCAAGAGGAAAGGGGAGCAUCACCUGCCUUGCAGAUGGAGUGGGCAAUGGCUGCCUGUAGGUCAGGCCUUAUGAAGAAGUUCAAAGCCAUGUCGCUUAAUGAAAGCUACAAUGAUGGAAAGCCAUCAGCCAAGAACUGGGUUGCAAGGAAGAUCCCCAGGAUGUGCAAUUCAAGGGAUUCCCUCCAAGGUGGAGCCAAGAAAUUGGGCCAGGAAAGGAGCUGGAUUUGAUUGCAGUUGUCUGCGAGAGAAACAAACACCCCAGAAAUAGGCAAAAAAGGCAUCAGGGGAGCUUGAGAGACAGAUGGAUAAGUCUUUGCAUGAGGGAAUGCUUUUGGGCUGGGUGCUGAUUGGUAAGAGGCAUGGAGUGUUAGCAGAGACCCUGCCUCCUGCUGCAUUCAGGGACAUCCCUUGUCAAUACACAGUACUAGUCAAAGAACUAGCUCAGACCCCACACUCUUGCCUCCCCCAGUCAUUUUUUCCUUUGCUUAAAUGGGACUACACACGCACACACUUCCCCCUGUAAUAGAAGGGAAAUGCCAUCCCAUACCACUGGAAACCAGCACAGGCCUCUAACACUUAAGCUUACAGUGGAACCCCACUAGGUGGUAACAGUAGCA